UAACUUGCAAUUUCUUUCAACUUGUUACUUGUCUUUCAAUUGCUUCGCUUUGUUGCUUGACUUUUCGUUUCUUCACCCUAUUCUCCAGGCGGGUUCCUGACUUGCUAUUUCAUCACUUUGUUGCUUGACUUUCAUUUCUUCACUCUGUUCUCCAGGCGGGCCUCUGACUUGCUAUUUCAUCACCCUGUUCUUCAUGCGGGC
rnacentral:lncRNA from 1 species